GUCUUAUGAGCUUUUUAUUAAGCAGCAUUUUGCAUUGAUCAAAGUUGAUGUGUAUAAAUACUGGCCCUUCAGCCAAAGGGUUUUUAUUCCUUAUAAGAGACUCGCUUUUACCAUUUAACAUCCUGUUAUAAUGAUCAGCGCGGUGCCUUAGUGACAUCACAUCCUGUUAUAAUGAUCACAUUCUGUUAUAAUGAUCAGUGGUGCCUUAGUGACAUCACAUUCUGUUAUAAUGAUCAGUGUGGUGCCUUAGUGACAUCACAUUCUGUUAUAAUGAUCAGCGUGGUGCCUUAGUGACAUCACAUUCUGUUAUAAUGAUCAGUGGUGCCUUAGUGACAUCACAUUCUGUUAUAAUGAUCAGCGUGGUGCCUUAGUGACAUCACAUUCUGUUAUAAUGAUCAGUGGUGCCUUAGUGACAUCACAUUCUGUUAUAAUGAUCAGCGUGGUGCCUUAGUGACAUCACAUUCUGUUAUAAUGAUCAGUGUGGUGCCUUAGUGACAUCACAUUCUGUUAUAAUGAUCAGUGGUGCCUUAGUGACAUCACAUUCUGUUAUAAUGAUCAGCGUGGUGCCUUAGUGACAUCACAUUCUGUUAUAAUGAUCAGUGGUGCCUUAGUGACAUCACAUUCUGUUAUAAUGAUCAGUGGUGCCUUAGUGACAUCACAUUCUGUUAUAAUGAUCAGCGUGGUGCCUUAGUGACAUCACAUUCUGUUAUAAUGAUCAGUGGUGCCUUAGUGACAUCACAUUCUGUUAUAAUGAUCAGUGGUGCCUUAGUGACAUCACAUUCUGUUAUAAUGAUCAGUGGUGCCUUAGUGACAUCACAUCCUGUUAUGAUGAUCAAUAGUGGAAAACAGAAAUGUGGCCAGUUUUUGUCUUGUGGAGAAACCAGGAAAUGGAUGAUUUGACCAGGAAAUGAAUGAUUUGACCAGGAAAUGAAUGAUUUGACCAGGAAAUGAAUGCGUGAAUAAUUUGAUCCAUAUUGGAUCUGAGCGUGAAUGUGCUAUUCAAAAUGGUCAAUACCUGUGUUGUCAUUGAGGGGCAAUUUGUUUUAGCUAACGGCACUUUUAAUAAAUUACAAUGAACUGUU